rnacentral:rRNA from 1 species
UACGUAGGGCGCAAGCGUUGUCCGGAAUUAUUGGGCGUAAAGAGCUCGUAGGCGGCUUGUCGCGUCGAAUGUGAAAUCCUGCGGCUCAACUGCAGGCUUGCAUUCGAUACGGGCAGGCUCGAGUUCGGUAGGGGAGACUGGAAUUCCUGGUGUAGCGGUGAAAUGCGCAGAUAUCAGGAGGAACACCGGUGGCGAAGGCGCCACUCUGGGCCGGAACUGACGCUGAGGAGCGAAAGCGUGGGUAGCAAACAGG